UACGGAGGGGGGCUAGCGUUGUUCGGAAUUACUGGGCGUAAAGCGCACGUAGGCGGCUUUGUAAGUUAGAGGUGAAAAGCCCAGGGCUUAACCCCUGGAAUUGCCUUUUAAGACUGCAUCGCUAGAAUCGUGGAGAGGUGAGUGGAAUUCCGAGUGUAGAGGUGAAAUUCGUAGAUAUUCGGAAGGACACCAGUGGCGAAGGCGACUCACUGGACACGUAUUGACGCUGAGGUGCGAAAGCGUGGGGAGCAAACAGG
rnacentral:rRNA from 1 species